GAUGAACGCUGGCGGUAUGCUUAACACAUGCAAGUCGAACGCAGACUUUCGGGUCUGAGUGGCGGACGGGUGCGUAAGGCGUGAGAAUCUGGCUUCAGGUUGGGGACAACCACGGGAAACGGUGGCUAAUACCCAAUGUGCCGUCAAGGUGAAAGAUUAAUUGCCUGAAGAUGAGGUCGCGUCUGAUUAGAUAGUUGGGGGGGUCAGAGCUCACCAAGGCGACGAUAAGUAGCUGUUCUGAGAGGACGAUCAGCCACACUGGGACUGAGACACGGCCCAGAGGACUACGGGAGGAAGCAGGGAGGCAUUAUCCGGAAUGGGCGAGAGCGUGACGGAGCAAUACCGCGUGAGGGAGGCAGGUUCUUGGGUUGUAAACCUCUUUUCUCAGGGAAGAAGGCAAUGACGGUACCUGAGGAAUAAGCAUCGGCUAACUCCGUG
rnacentral:rRNA from 1 species